rnacentral:rRNA from 1 species
ACGAACGCUGGCGGCAUGCCUAACACAUGCAAGUCGAACGAGACCUUCGGGUCUAGUGGCGCACGGGUGCGUAACGCGUGGGAACCUGCCCUUAGGUUCGGAAUAACUCCCCGAAAGGGGUGCUAAUACCGGAUAAUGUCUUCGGACCAAAGAUUUAUCGCCUUGGAUGGGCCCGCGUUGGAUUAGCUAGUUGGUAGGGUAAAAGCCUACCAAGGCGACGAUCCAUAGCUGGUCUGAGAGGAUGAUCAGCCACACUGGGACUGAGACACGGCCCAGACUCCUACGGGAGGCAGCAGUGGGGAAUAUUGGACAAUGGGCGAAAGCCUGAUCCAGCAAUGCCGCGUGAGUGAUGAAGGCCUUAGGGUUGUAAAGCUCUUUUACCCGGGAUGAUAAUGACAGUACCGGGAGAAUAAGCGCCGGCUAACUCCG